CGGCCGAUAUCGGGCGCCGGGAAAUGUGGUGUUCGGGAGGGUCCGUUAUCCCGAGAUUGUGCGGCGCGUCCAAGUCCUUCUUGAACGGGGCCACAGCCCAUAGAGGGUGCCAGGCCCGUAGCGACCGCCGCCGAUCGCGGGAGGAUCUCUCCUCAGAGUCGGGUUGCUUGAGAGUGCAGCCCUAAGUGGGUGGUAAACUCCAUCUAAGGCUAAAUAUGACCACGAGACCGAUAGCGAACAAGUACCGUGAGGGAAAGUUGAAAAGCACUUUGAAGAGAGAGUUCAAGAGUACGUGAAACCGUUUAGGGGUAAACCUGAGAAACCCGAAAGGUCGAAGGAAGAAAUUCAUCGCGUUUCGCCGCAGGCGUUGUACGGUCGUGAGACGGAAAGCGUUCGCGCUUAUCCGCUCCCUCCGUCACGAACGGCGGCGAACGCGUGCACUUUUCUUCUGGUAGGACGUCGCGAUCCGUUGGGCGUCGGUCUACGGCUCGCGGUGGAGACCGUUCGUACGCGUUCGCGCGCGUACGGGCGGACCCGCGAUGCCCGGCCGACUCGCUCGACGGUAUGCGAAAGGUUUAAGGCCGCUCUUAGCGAGCGUUCGACUCGCGGCAAGCGCGCCGGAUGCGUCGGCGAUCGGACCCGGUGCCGAUUCUGACCUCCGGUGACUGUUGGCCGCGAAGUUCUCGAACAGACCUCUAGACCG
rnacentral:rRNA from 1 species